CCUACGGGACGCAGCAGUGGGGAAUAUUGCACAAUGGGCGCAAGCCUGAUGCAGCCAUGCCGCGUGUAUGAAGAAGGCCCUAGGGUUGUAAAGUACUUUCAGUCGGGAGGAAGGCGUUGAUGCUAAUAUCAUCAACGAUUGACGUUACCGACAGAAGAAGCACAGGCUAACUCCGUGCCAGCAGCCGCGGUAAUACGGAGGGUGCAAGCGUUAAUCGGAAUUACUGGGCGUAAAGCGCACGCAGGCGGUCUGUCAAGUCGGAUGUGAAAUCCCCGGGCUCAACCUGGGAACUGCAUUCGAAACUGGCAGGCUAGAGUCUUGUAGAGGGGGGUAGAAUUCCAUGUGUAGCGGUGAAAUGCGUAGAGAUGUGGAGGAAUACCGGUGGCGAAGGCAGCCCCCUGGACAAAGACUGACGCUCAGGUGCGAAAGCGUGGGGAGCAAACAGGAUUAGAUACCCCUGUAGUC
rnacentral:rRNA from 1 species